rnacentral:rRNA from 1 species
CAUGGCUCAGAACGAACGCUGGCGGCAGGCUUAACACAUGCAAGUCGAGCGCCCCGCAAGGGGAGCGGCAGACGGGUGAGUAACGCGUGGGAAUCUACCCAUCUCUACGGAACAACUCCGGGAAACUGGAGCUAAUACCGUAUACGUCCUUCGGGAGAAAGAUUUAUCGGAGAUGGAUGAGCCCGCGUUGGAUUAGCUAGUUGGUGGGGUAAUGGCCUACCAAGGCGACGAUCCAUAGCUGGUCUGAGAGGAUGAUCAGCCACACUGGGACUGAGACACGGCCCAGACUCCUACGGGAGGCAGCAGUGGGGAAUAUUGGACAAUGGGCGAAAGCCUGAUCCAGCCAUGCCGCGUGAGUGAUGAAGGCCCUAGGGUUGUAAAGCUCUUUCAACGGUGAAGAUAAUGACGGUAACCGUGAAG